CACGAAGAACCCCGUCAUCCUUAAAGAGUGUAGACUCACAGCUUCAUACAAUUGCACAAAGCUUCGCAAUCGACAUCUCCUCCAGUUUGUUCUAGUUCUGCCACGUCGGUAAAGAAAAUGAGCUAUAAGGCAGCUCUGCUUGGAGAAAAAGAAAGGAGGGGGGAAGUCGGAGGAGAAAGGGGACACGACAUUAUGAAGUUUCACACCGCGCAAGAAAAAAAAA